rnacentral:lncRNA from 1 species
GUUAGCUAAACUAAUUCCUCAUUUGUAUCAAUCAUCCUCGAUCCAAGAGUACGUCGAUACUGACGACAUUGGGGAAAGAAUCUGCGGCCUUUUCGAGCAGAUCAAUGUUGUUAUUGAAGACAAGGUCGAGCUGACAGGAUUCCAUGAUGCUGAGCCUCGAGAAAUGCUGUAGAACUAAACCACCACGCAGGUUCUGAUUCCAUAAAAUUCUUGGUACAAGGGAAUAAUUUUAUGUAUAUUUAAAUCGGUGGUAGUCGGAAGAGUCCCGAGACACACCAUUUCAUUUUUCCCUUAAUCAUUUGAGUUUUUGAAAUUCCCUCGUGAUGUCCAAAAAAGGCAAUAUGGACCUUUUCCAUAGCCAAAGUUUGCAUUAUUUACCAUUUUGAAUGAAAGCCUCUUCUACUUAAAUUUUGUUUAUUUACUUAUUUGCUAUAUUUUACUUGUCUAACUUUCUCUAUUUAUAAUUUUAGUAAUACAAGUUUUAAACCUGCCUAUGUCAUGUCAUGUCAUGAGCUGAAGGAACAAAGUGAGGUAGGUGAUGACGAGUUUAAUGAAUAUGAAGAUGAAAAUGGGACACAGGAAUAUAUUGCCUUGGAGUUUGUGUAGUGUGAAAACCAACAUAAACCGAAUUAAGAGGAAACUCAAACUGUUAAUCUUGAAGACUAGAAAUGAGUCAAAGAGUCCAAAAUCAGUGUUCACUUGAAUGAAACUCAGAGGAAGUAUCUAAUACAUUUGCUCAAAGAAUACAUUGAUUUGUUCGUCUAGGAAGUCAGCGACAUGUAGGACUGAGCAAAAAACUCGAAAGUUCAAGCCUAAGAUGAAUUUAAAGAUUAAAGAAGACAUCACCAAGCAAAUAAAGUCUUGAUUAGUAGAAGUGACACAAUAUCCAACUUGGUUGGACAAUGUUGUUCAAGUUGCCAAAAAAGAUUGGAAAAUUAGAAUCUGUGUCAACUACAGAAUCUGAACAAAGCUAGCCUAAGGAUAAUUUCUCGUUACCAAAUAUUCAUAUUCUUAUUGAUAAUUGUGCUAAACAUGAAAUGCAGUCAUUUAUGGAAAGUUACGGAGGUUAUAAUCAGAUUCAGAUGGACUAAGAAGAUACAAACAAGACAACUUUUAUUACACCUUGGGGUGUAUGUCAUUAAAGGGUGAUGCCAAUUGGCCUCAAGAAUGUUGGCGCUACAUAUAUAGGGAUAUGACUACCAUAUUUCAUGAUAUGAUUCAUAAACAGAUUGAUGUUUACAUAGAUGACGUCAUAAUUAAGUCCCGCGACAUUUUGGACCACUUGAAAUAUCUAAGGAAAUUGUUUGAUCGUUUGUGUUGUUAUAACUUGAACUUAAAUCCAACCAAUUGCGCUUUUGGAGUUCUAUCCAAAAAGUUGUUGGGAUUUAUAGUCAGCAGAAGGGGUAUUGAGCUUGAUCCUGCUAAAAUUAAAGCAAUAUAAGAGUUACCUCCACCGAAGAUGAGAAAAUAGGUGAUGAGUUUCUUAGGGAGGUUGAACUACAUCAGUCCGUUCAUAGCUCAAUCAAACGUGGUGUUUGAGCCUAUUUUCAAACUGUUGAACAAAGAAGCUCCGACAAAGUGGACUGAAGAGUGUUAGACUACUUUUGACUCUAUCAAAACUAUUAGUCAAAUACUUCGGUAUUGGUUCCUCCAUGAGAAGGGAGUCCUUUGUUGCUGUAUUUGUCCAUAUCAGAUAGUGCAUUCAGAUGCGUGCCUGGUCAACAUGACGAGAAAGGUAAAAAGGAAAGGUCUAUCUUCUACAUAAGCAAGAAGUUCACUCCAUACGAGUCUCGUUAUACUAUGUUGGAGAGAACAUGUUGCAGAUGACUUGUUCACCCAUGGCGGCUAUGCUCCGAUAUAAUUGCACGAACAACGUGGAUGAAUACAUAGCUUGUAUUCUUGGGUUGAAAAUUGCCAUUGACAUGAAUGUCUAUGAGUUGUUGGUUAUUGAAUGUUCAGAUCUUUUUGAUUCAUCAUGUUCAAGGAGAGUGGGCUGUGAAGAACCCGAAGGUCAUACCUUAUGUACAAUAUGUACAGAAGUUGUGCGGAACAUUUCUCAAGAUAGAGUUCAGACAUACUCCCAGAAUACAUAAUGAGUUGGCCGAUGCUCUUGCCACCAUAGCGUCAAUGAUUAAACAUCCAGAUACUGAUUACAUUCAUCAUUUGGAUAAAGAGUUCACAAAACACCAAGUUCACUGUUUCCAUGUUGAAGCAUAAUCAGACGGUUAGUCAUGGUAUUUUGAUAUAAAAAAGUAUUUAGAGUCUUGAACUUAUCCUGAAGAUGUUCCGUCCAACCAUAAAAAAUUGAUACGUCGUAUGGCUCUCAAAUUAUUUCUACGUGGGGAAAUCCUUUAUAGGAGAACUCAAGAUUUGGGUCUUCUCAGAUGUGUUGAUGUUUAUGAAGCUACAAAGCUUAUUGAACAGAUAUACGCUGGAGUUUGUGGUACGCCUAUGAAUAGGUUCACUUUAUCCAGAAAGAUCCUUCUAGUCGGUUAUAUUUGGAUGAUUAUGGAGAAUGAUUGUUGCAAGUUUGUGUAGAAGUGUCAUAAAUAUCAAGUGCAUGGUGAUUUUAUCCGAGUGCCACCUCACGAACUUAAUGCUAUGAGUUCACCUUGGCCAUUUGUAUCUUGGGGAAUGGAUGUCAUCGUUCUUGUAGAGCCGGUUGCUUCUAAUGGAUACAGAUUCUUUUUGGUUGCCAUUGGCUACUUCACCAAGUGGGUGGAAGAAGCUUCCUAAAUGUUAGUAACUAAGAAAAUUGUAGCUGAUUUUGUUCGUAACAAUCUGAUAAGUAGAUUUGUAGUGCCAGAAUCCAUCAUUACUGACAACUACGCAAAUCUCAACAGCCACUUAAUGAGUGAGAUAUGUGAGCAAUUUAAGAUUACUCAUUGAAACUCGACUGCUUAUCUUCGUCAAAUGAAUGGAGCUGUAGAGGCCACCAAUAAGAAUAUCAAGAAGAUUCUGAGAAAAAUGAUUGAAAAUCACCGAGGUUGGCACGAGAUGUUUCCAUAUGCUUUAUUGGGUUAUCGGACGACUGUUAGAAGAUUUACUGGAGCUACUCUAUAUUUGCUAGUAUAUGGAACAGAAGCAGUCAUACCUACUGAAGUUGAAAUUUUGUCUUUGAGAAUCAUCCAAAAGGCUGAGUUGAGUAAUGUUGAAUGGGUUAGCAAGAGAAUUGAUGAAUUAACUUUUAUCGAUGAAAAGAGAUUGGUCGCUGUCUAUUAUGGUCAAAUGUAUUGACAGAGAACGAUUCAUGUUUUUCACAAAAGAGUGAUUGAUAGAAUUUUUGAAAUUGGUCAGUUAGUCCUUAAACGCAUCGUUCCUCAUUAAGAUGAAUAUAAAGGAAAAUUCGCAAAAAAUUCGCAUGGACCCUAGAUGGUUCGUAAAGUAUUAUCUGGAGGUGCUUUGGUCCUGUCAGAGGUUGAUGGCACCGCCUGGCCGAAGCCGAUAGAUGUUUUCAAGAGAUAUUAUGUGUAAAGUUUCAUCUUGUAUUUCAGUCAUUUGCUUGUAAUUGUUUUAUUUUGCUUGUAUUUGCUUUGUUUGAAUUUUAUUCUUCUUGUAAUGAACUACUUCUGACCUGAAUUCUCAAGAAUGAGAUACGUCGGUGGCCUAUGUCGGCCUCGGUCGGUCACCCCAUUUAUCCCCUUUUAAUAUUUCUUUGUAUUUGAACUACGCUCGACCUAAAUUCUCAAGAAUGAGAUACGUCGGCAGCCUAUGUCGAUCUCGAUCAAUUUAUUUGUAAGUUUCUUAUUGUUGUUACCUUUGAGGGGGAACCACGUUUGACCUGAUUCCUUCCUCAACGGGAUACGUAGGCACCACAAGGGUUCGGUCAUAUUUCCCGUAAGAUUUCUAUUCCUCUUAAAAUAAAAAUUAGGAUAGAAAUUUUGAGAGGGACUCAAAAAUUCUCAAGAAGAAGAUUCAUCCUCACCAAGUAAAGAUCGAAAAGGUUUCGAGAUUUGCAACUGGGACAAAACUUUCAAGAAGAUAUCGAAAAUUCCAUGAUUUACUUAUAGUCAAUUGAAGAUAAACCAAAAACUUGUAACUGGGACAUAAAUUGUGAGGAUGACCUCAAAAUUUCGACAUGGGUUAAUCAACAGCCUAGAGAGACUCUAAAUACUCCCCAUCCAAUGAUCAUAUAUACCUCCAAGCAUCAAACUCAAAGAAGUUCGCUAAUCCUUACGUGACAUGACACUUGGCAGUAACCAUUUUUAAAAUACUACUUCUCAAAAAUAUAUGUCUUAAAGAUUUUCCUUUUAUGUUUCGUUUGUUUUGGCAUAGAAUAUUUUGUCUUAUCUAUCUAAAGUUGGGAGAUCAGGAAGAUGAACCAGAAAUAGCAGGACGAGGAGCAGACAACUGAAGAAUCGACAUAGAUCAUUCUGUUUUAAAACUAACAAUUCUUCAAUGGAUUCAUGUUUAUAGCUUUGAUCUGAAACCAACAAACUCCCCCAAUUGAUGAAUAUGGAGAAGUCAAGUGCAGAGAAAGCUCUCCCAAAAUAAACUGUGUUUUUGUAGACGCAAGAAUUACUUCAUAUUGCUUACACCGGAGACUUGAGAAUAUGAAUGGUUUAUAAGGAGCGUCCAACUAGAUUCAAAGAUGAAUCAACCGAAAACCCUUGAAUGGGAUAGUUCACAGUUUUCAUCAAGGACGUCAUUUGCAUCGCAUUAUCAAACAUGAUAGUGUUGCUACCUAGAGGGGUUAUUUAUUUUAUUAUCGAUCAAGACAAUACACUACCCGGAGGGUUCAUUUAUUUUAUCUUUGAUCAGGACAAUACACUACCCAAAGGGAUCAUUUAUUUUAUUAUCGAUCAAGACAAUACAUUAUUUGGAAAAUCAUUUUUAUCAUUAAUUUCAAUAGAGACCAUAUGAUUAUCCAGAACGCACCAAGAAGAUCAUGCAUCGUGAGCGCGGAUGAUCAUGCAUCACGAGUCAAUAUUCAUGCAUUGUGGAAGACCAUGCAAUCACGAGUUAAUAUCCAUACAUCGCGAGUCAAUAUACAUGCAUCGCGAGUCAAUAUUCAUGCAUCGCAAAAGAUCAUACAUCGCGAGUCAAUAUUCAUGCAUCGCAGAAGGUCAUGCAUCGCGAGUCAAUAUUCAUGCAUCGCGAAAGAUUAUGCAUCGCGAGUUAAUAUUCAUGCAUCGUGAAAGACCAUGCAUAGCGAAUUAAUAUUUAUGCAUCUCUAGAAGAUUUCAUGCCUCAUAUAAAUUAUGUAUCACGAGAAAAUAUUCAUGUCUCACAGAAAUUUAUGCAUCUCGAGAAGAUAUCAUGCCUUGUGAAAAUUAUGCAUCGCGAGGAGAUAUUCAUGCCUCGCAGAAAGUUAUGCAUCGCGAGAAGAUAUUCAUGUCUCGCAGAAAUUUAUACAUUGUGGGAAGAUAUUCAUACCACAAGAAAUCAAGCAUCGCGGGAAGAUAUUCAUGCCCUGAAGAAAUCAUGUGCUACCAGAGAAGGAAUCGUGCAUCUUAAGGGAAAUAUUUACCCCUCAACAUCAACUGUAUCUUUAUUUGGCAAUAGUGAAUGCCAAGAUAAUCAUCGAAAAAAAGAAAGAAUAAAUAUCAAAAUUGCAUCAACUUUUAUUUAUUUUGCCAUCAAAUGAAGAAUACAUUGUAGAUUAUAUUGCAAACAUACGACAUAAGCUUUAUUUGCUUUACGUCAAACCUAAAGUUGACGACAAUAUUCAAGCAGAGCAACUAAGUGUCGACGCGGUAAAUGAUACGACUUAUAAUUUCAAUUGCAUUUUUAUGCUGACAAGUUUAUCUCAGUUUUUGUCUAGAGCAUCCAAAAGGAUAAAGUUCUCCAAAAACAAAACCACAGGUGCGGACGGCAUAAAAAAGGAUGCAGUACAACGUGGAACUUUUUCUUAGUAGUUACUUGGGACACAGUCCAAAGAGGAAUGUCAAACUCUGAGGACGCGAGCAGGGGAGCGACUUCCACCACAAUCAAACCACACCCUUAUCAGAAGGCAUGCGGGUUUUUCUUUGUUUUUUUUUUCAGUUUUAGUCUCGCAUCCAAAAAUUUUGAUCUACCGGAAGCAAUUCUCCAACCCGAGUGACAAUGCUCCAAGAGUUUUGGAAAUUAUGUUCGUGUAUGUUCUUAAUUAUUAGUGUGAAGUGCACCGCAUUCAUGGCUAAGUGGUUACAAGCCUCCUUUUCAUACUCAAACUUAAUUUUCCACUCGUCCGUAGCAAAGGUUAUCUGGUAUGAAAUAUUUCCUUUUCAACCGAUUGAGUCGAACUACAAACAAGAUAAUUCCUAAUGUUUAAGAAUAUGUAGGCGGGCUCAAUCUUAAAAACUCGAUUGUAUUUCAACAUACGAUCUUAAAUCUUACUCCCAAGCAUUUCGGUCCCUUCAUAAUUUGACAGCGAGAUGACUUUUGAAUUCUUUAAAAAUCGUGGGCUAAAUCAAGUGUAUCGAAUACAAGUAGCCUAAAUUCUUAUGUAGCUUGAGAUAUGUAGGAAACUCUUACAGGGUUCGGCCAUAAUUCCUAAAGUCUGUACUAGAUCUAUUUCCUGAAGAUUAAUAUGUAGUCGUUAAAAUUGGUUUGGUCAAUUUCAUUUUUCUAGAAUUUCUUGCAUCAAACCAAGUAAGAAAAGGGACAGUUGUUGACACCUAAUUUUGACUCUCCUCUACUGUAAUUUACUAGUGAGCUUCUCGAGUUCAAACAAUUUAAAAUAAAUAAUUUUACAAAAAAAAUAAGAUAAUAAUAAUAAUUUUUUAGCUUGCAAAUUAUUUUGAAUAAGGUUUUGACACUUUUUAUAUAUUUUUAAGAUAAUGUAUAUGUCUUACAUAAUUAUUCAUAUAAUUAUUAUAAUUUUAUCAAUGUUAAAAUUCAAAAAAAAGAAUAAUAUUAAUAAUAGUAACAUUUUGUUUUAUAUAUAUAUUUGAGUAAUUAUUUUAGCUUAUAUCUUGAAUCUUUAGUUUACAUUCGAAUUAAUUAUUUUAUUUUGUUAACCUUAAGAAACUUUUUAAUUAAUUAUAUUAAUUCGCCUUAUUUUUAAAUUUUUUAUCAAAUUGGACAAUUACAUUUUUUUAAUUUGGCUAAAUUUUCCUUACUAGAAGACAUAUAUUGGACCACUUAUUGGCCAAUUUCCAAUCAUUCAGCUUUUCCUCAUUUCAAACUUUCGGAAUCCCAUUAAUACCCAUCCUCAGCCCUUUCUUUACGCCAAAAUAGUCCAACCCAAUUCAAUUCAAUUCCACCCCAACCUUCUCCCCAACAACCACCCCGACCCAAAUCUAUUUUCCCUAAAAAAAUCAAAUCAAUCAAAACAGUGCAACACCCACCAACUCCUACAUGUUAACGGUAGUCUCACAACGUCCCCUCAACAGCGAUGUGUGAGCAACAAAACAAACCUAGAGGCGCUCACGACUUUGCCUCACUCGUGUCAACUUAAACAGCGAGUUCACAUUGCAUGAGAUCUUCUUCUUCUUCAUCCUGUAAAGGUUUGCAGAUUUCUGCAAAUUCCAGCUACCCCUUUUGCUGAGCCAGCUGCACGAUUCGUCCUUGCUAGCCGGGAUAUGGUGACAGGUAUCUCAACAAGGACGCACGAUCCGUCCCGGCCCUCCGCGCGAUUUCUAGUCGUUCCAUUUGAGAGAAUCAUUUGAGAAUAUUCUUUUAGGGAUAGGAAUUUAGAUUUUUUUGAACGAAAAUUGCAUGGGCCUAAAUUCUAUUUUGGAGCCCCUUUCCCUUUUAUUUUCAACCCUAAUUGAUCCCUAUAUAUUAUCUUUUUGGUUUUAUGAAUAGGGAGUUUUUUUUUUUGGGGGAGAGGAGGAAAAUCUGGAAUCGAGAAGUUUUUGAUUUCAUUUGUUUGAAUAUUUGUUUUGGAUUUCAAUCGGAAUAGUUAUAGAAUAUAUAUACAAUAGUGGUUUGGCAAGAAACCUAAGGAUCAUUUAGUGUUAGAAAAGAAAAAUAAAAAAUAGGCUAGAAAAAAAAUCUCGACUUCAUUCAGUCUCGGUCAUUUUUUGAUUUCGCUUUCUCACCCAAGUCCACAAAGUUGAAUUCCAACAGUGUUAAAGUCUCCUCAACUCUUUAUCGGUUGAGUUCGCUGCAUCAAGAAAGGUAAUAUCCCCUCCUCUUAAUGUCUUUUGCAUCUUUUCUUCCAUUUCAAAGUAAUUUUUUUGUGUGUGCAAGAAGUAUGUGUUCCGUGGCUGUAUUUGUUUGAGUUACAGUGGUUUGAUUGCUUGAAACAUGAGCUUUUUUGUUUGUUAUUUUGAGAGUUGCUUUAUUAAAGAUUUAUAAUACAUUUUGUUUUAGGAGGUCAUUAGCUCGACACAAGUCAACUGUGUUGUAUGUCGGUGGUCUUAAUGGCUUAAAUCAAUAUUUUUUUAUCGUCUUACCGUAUAGGGUUCUUCCGUUAUUGCGUUGGAUCUAAAAUGUAAUUACGUUUUGAGGCUUAGGAUCUUUUCUUGUGGGAAGUUCCAAUGUCACCUUGUUAUAUUUUAUUUGUUGCUCAGCCUUGUGGUUAGUCGUCAAAAUGUCUAUAGUGAAGGUCGUGAUGCUCCAUCUCUUUUACUUACCAUUUUAUGUGUUUCUAAGCUGCUAUUUAGCUUGAGUUUUUCAAUUUCUAGCCUGCUCGACACAUCGUAUGCCUACAACAUCUACUUUAACAUUUUCAAAUUAAUUCAUAGUUUUUUUAGCUUAUAUUAAACCCCUUUUCAACACUAACCUUCCUUUUUUUUAAAAAUAUGAUAUAUCGUUAUGAUUAAGCUUACUCAUCAUGAAUAUCGUGUUUUCUUAAGAUAGUGUUGUAGGUUUGACGUUGUGUCGUAAUGGAAGCUGAGAGUUAGAGUACAAAUUUUGUUGGUUUUGUCUUAUAAGCCUAAUAAUUUGUUUAUUUUUAAUCUGUUAAGUGAGUGUCCACCAUGCUUUAAUUUCGUCCCCUUUCCCUUGAUAGAAUUUGUAGAACGACAUGUUCACUAGUGUCCCUAGCUAAAUCAAAAUUUGUCCAAAACGCAUAUUUGUCAUAUUGUAUAUGAAAAGUACUCAAUGAUAGUCAAAAUUUUGGGACAACAUAUAUUUAUCAUUUUGCUUUUGUCUCUCAAUGUCACGACCCAAAUCCGGGCCGCGACUGGCACCCACACUUACCCUCCUAUGUGAGCGAACCAACCCAUCUAAACCUUAACAUUUCAAUGUAAUAUCAACAUAAAGUAAUGCGGAAGACUUAAACUCAUUAAUAAAAUCAAUAACUAUUAUUAUCCCCAAAAUCUGGAAGUCAUCAUCACAAGAACAUCUACUUUUAACUACUACUUCUAAGAGUUUCUAAGAAGCUAAAAAUACAUAAGAAGCUAGUCCAUGCCGGAAGUUCAAGGCAUCAAGACUUGGAGAAGAAGAUCCAGUCCAAGCUAGAAGCAUUAGCUCACCCUGAAUUUCUGAUGUAGUAAGACUGGCUUGAGUUACUGUUGAGUCGAAGAUGACGGCACGUUUGCUGCACUCCACAAAUAAACAAGAAGAAAACAAUAAAAGUAGGGGUCAGUACAAAACACGGGUACUGAGUAGAUAUCAUCGGCAAAUUCAAAAUAGAAAACAGUAUGUAUUAAGCAAUAUCAUAAAAUCAACUAAUAUCCUUAGCAUGCAGCAUUUACAGUUACCAUAACCCUUGGUUACAACACCAAGCACAUCAAUGAGGACUCACACCUCUUCAUCAUACUCAUUUGGGAAUUUAGUUCAUUAGAUUGGAUAUAUUAACAUAUUUCAAGAUUCAUUAUCUUUAUUCCCCUCGUGUCGGUUCGUGACACUCCGCUCCUCAAUAUACUAUCCUGGUGUCGGAACGUGACACUCUGAUCCUCAUUCUAUCCUGGUACCGGAACGUGGCACCCGAUCCAUAUUCUAUCCUUGUUUCGGAACGUGACACUCCGAUCCUCAUAUACUAUCCUGGUACCGGAACGUGGCACCCGAUCCAUAUUCUAUCCUGGUGUCAGAACGUGACACCCGAUCCAUAUUCUAUCCUGGUACCGGAACGUGGCACCCGAUCCGUAUUCUAUCCUGGUGUCGGAACGUGACACCCGAUCCAUAUUCUAUCCUGGUACCGGAACGUGGAACCCGAUCUAUAUUCUAUCCUGGUGUCGGAACGUGACACCCGAUCCAUAUUCUAUCCUGGUACCGGAACGUGGCACCCGAUCCCCUAAUCUCACCACUUUCGUUCAUCAAGCCUUCUUUUAUACCAAGGCAUCAUCAUUAACAAAGUAGAUUAGGGUUUCUUUUCAAGAUUUGGGAUUCAAUAGCUUCAUCAUGCUUAUUUAUUCACAAUUACAUAAACACAUCAUUCAUGCAAGCAUACAAUUAAGCAUAUAGAAGGUUUACAAUACUACUAACACAUAUCAUUCGCUAUUAAGAGUUUACUUAUGAAGCAUGAAAACCAUAACCUACCUCCACCGAAGAAUUGAAUCAAGCAAGAAUUUUCCCAAAGCUUUGUUUCUCCCUUCUCGUUCGAUUCCCUCUCUCUCUCUUGUUCUUUCUAUUUUCUUUAUUCAAACCCUCUUUCUUUUACCCUAAUUAGUAUAUAAUUAAGAAUAAAAGAUGGCAAUAAUACCCCACUAAUUAACUUAGGGUUACCUCUUUUAACCCCUCAAGAAUUUUAGUUAUUAAUAUAACCCCACGAAAUCUAUAAAUAAGGAAAGAAUAGUCCAAAAAUGUCCCUUAAAACUUCACCAAAAAUCCGACUCUGCCUGGGAUUUGCGCAACCUAUGACGGGCCGUUGUGCCUACGACGGUCCGUCCUGCAGGUCAUCACAAAGUUCAGAGAAUGGGUUUUCACUGAAGUCUCCGUGACGGUCCGUCACGCCUGUGACGGUCCGUCCUGCCAUUCCGUCACGAAGUUCAGAGAGUCGAUUUUCAGUACCCAAUUUCAGAUUUUCUAAGUGUUCUGAAACGAGACCCUGCGACGGUCCGUCGUGCCCUUGACGGUCCGUCGCUUCUGCCAGUUUUUCCAGAAUUGAAGUCUGUUGCUCAAAACGACUAAACAGGUCGUUACAAUAGAUACCAAUUUACCCAUCGUUCGUCCCCAAACAAUCAAAAGAAGGAAAAUAAGGGCGAAAAGGAGUACCUGAAUCUGUAAGCAGAUGUGGGUAUUUUUCUCGCAUAUCCGCCUCCUUCUCCCAAGUGGCUUCUUCAACGGGUCGAUUCUUCCAUUGCACCUUGAUGGAUGCAAUCUCUCUUGACCUCAACUUGCGAACUUCUCUAUCUAAAAUAGCAAUAGGCUCCUCCUCAUAAGACAAGUUCUCAUCAAGCAAAAUUGAAUCCCAACGGAUGAUGUAGUUUCCAUCCCCAUGGUAUCUUUUCAACAUCGACACAUGGAAUACCGGAUGCACUCCGGACAGCCCUGGAGGCAAGGCUAAUUCAUAAGACACCUCUCCUACUCGCUUAAGUACUUCAAAUGGUCCAAUGUACCUUGGACUUAGUUUACCCCUUUUACCAAACCGCAUCACCCCUUUCAGUGGUGAAACUUUCAACAAGACUUGUUCACCCUCCAUGAACUCUAAGUCUCUAACCUUUCGAUCUGCAUAUUCUUUAUGUCUACUUUGCGCCGCUAGAAGCUUUUCUUGAAUAGACUUCACUUUUUCUAUCGAAUCCCUCAAAAGGUCAGUACCCCAAGGCCUAACCUCAAAUGCGUCAAGCCAACCAAUGGGAGACCUACAUCUCCUACCAUACAAUGCUUCGAAUGGAGCCAUAUCAAUGCUUGAGUGAUAGCUAUUAUUGUAUGAAAACUCCGCUAAGGGUAGGAAGCUAUCCCAAUGACCACCAAACUCUAUCACACACGCACGAAGCAUAUCCUCCAACACUUGAAUCGUUCGCUCAGACUGACCAUCGGUCUGAGGAUGGAACGCAGUACUAAGGUCCAACCUAGUACCCAAUUCCGCAUGCAAUGUUUUGCAAAACUUAGAAGUAAACUGCGUACCUCUAUCUGAUAUGAUGGAUAGUGGAACCCCAUGCAAUCGAACGAUUUCUGAGAUAUAGACCUUGGCUAACUUCUCGGCAUUGUAAGUCACCUUAACCGGAAUAAAAUGAGCAGACUUAGUUAACCUAUCAACAAUCACCCAAAUGGAGUCAUACUUACCCAUUGUCUUCGGAAGACCAACCACAAAAUCCAUUGCAAUUCUUUCCCACUUCCAUUCCGGAAUGGGCAUUCUCUGAAGUGUUCCUCCGGGCCUUUGGUGUUCAUACUUUACUUGUUGACAGUUUGGACAUUUGUCAACAAAAUCCACAAUGUCACGCUUCAUUCUACUCCACCAAAAGUGUUGCUUUAGGUCACGAUACAUCUUGGUUGCGCCCGGAUGUAUAGAAUACCUUGAACUAUGAGCCUCUGUCAGAAUAGUGUUGAUCAAACCAUCGACGCGGGGUACACACACCCUUCCCUUGAUCCUAAAAACACCUUCCUCAUCAAUUUGUGCUUCCUUAGCCUCUCCUCGCAAUACCUUAUCUUGAAUUCUGCGCAGUUUCUCAUCAUCAGACUGUCUUCCCUUAAUCUUGUCAAGAAAGGAAGAUCUUGCUUCCACAGAAGCCAACAACCCUCCCUUCUCAUUUACUUCUAAUCUCAUCAAGUCAUUAGCUAGAGUCUGAACCUCUCUAGCCAAUGGGCGUCUAGAAGCUUGCAAGUGAGCUAGACUUCCCAUGCUUCCCGCCUUUCUACUUAAAGCAUCCGCUACAACGUUCGCCUUUCCCGGAUGAUACAAGAUAGUGAUAUCGUAGUCCUUUAGUAACUCCAUCCAUCUCCUCUGUCUUAAGUUCAAAUCUUUCUGAGUAAAGACAUACUGUAGGCUACGAUGAUCCGUAUAGAUCUCACACUUAACCCCAUAUAAAUAGUGUCUCCAUUGCUUUAAUGCAAACACCACCGCAGCCAAUUCCAAAUCGUGGGUCGGAUAGUUACGUUCAUGCACCUUUAGUUGCCUUGAAGCAUAAGAAAUCACACUCUUCUCUUGCAUUAGUACUGCACCCAAAACAGAAUAGGAUGCAUCACAAUAAACAAUGAAGUUCUUACCCUCUACUGGCAAGGUAAGGAUAGGUGCGGUAGUCAACAAAGUCUUGAGCUUCUGAAAUCUUUCCUCACACUCAUCCGACCAUACAAAUGGAACAUUUUGCUUAGUCAAGUUCGUCAGUUGGGAAGCAAUAGAAGAGAAUCCCUUGACAAAUCGACGGUAGUAGCUAGCUAAUCCAACAAAGCUCCUUAUUUCUGACACAUUAGUAGGUCUUACCCAAUUCUUCACUGUCUCAAUCUUAGAAGGAUCCACCAUCACUCCAUCCUUGGAAACCACGUGCCCUAAGAAGGACACUGCAUCUAACCAAAACUCACACUUAGAGAACUUGACAUAAAGCUUUUUCUCCCUCAACAUUUCCAAUACCAUUCUCAAAUGCUCUUCAUGUUCCUUCUUGCUCUUUGAGUAUACCAAUAUAUCAUCAAUAAAUACGAUCACGAAGAGGUCCAAAUAUGGCUUAAAAAUCCCGUUCAUCAAGCUCAUGAACGCAGCAGGGGCAUUUGUAAGACCAAAAGACAUCACUACAAAUUCGUAAUGCCCAUACCUCAUUCGAAAAGCAGUCUUUGGCACAUCUGUUGCCCGUAUUUUCAAUUGAUGAUAACCGGAUCUCAAGUCAAUCUUAGAGAAGACACAAGCACCUUGUAACUGAUCAAACAAGUCAUCAAUGCGAGGAAGAGGAUACUUGUUCUUUAUGGUUACCUUAUUCAGUUGUCUGUAGUCUAUGCACAUUCAAAAACUGCCAUCCUUCUUCUUUACAAACAAAACCGGAGCACCCCAAGGAGAUGCACUUGGUCUAAUGAAGCCUUUGUUCAAUAACUCUUGAAGUUGUGCCUUUAACUCUCUUAACUCCGCAGGAGCAAUUCUAUAAGGGGGUAUAGAAAUGGGGCGUGUGCCCGGUUCGAGAUCAAUACAGAAGUCAAUAUCCCUAUCCGGUGGCAUACCAGGAAGAUCUGCAGGGAACACAUCCAGAAACUCACGAACUACUGAAACUGACUCAAUCGAAGGUACUUGGGUAGUGCCAUCCUUGAGAUGUGCCAAGAAAGCUAAACACCCUUUACUAACCAUUUUCUUAGCACGAAGAAAGGAGAUGAUACGCACCGGAUUGGAAGUGUAGUCACCCUCCCACACUAACAGAUCUUUCCCAGGCUUGGCUAACGUCACGGUUUUAGCAUUACAAUCCAAGAUUGCAAAAUUUGGAGAAAGACAAGUCAUACCCAGAAUUACAUCGAAGUCAACCAUUUCUUGCAAGGAUUUUGCCGUAGCCGCUACCUGUAAGGCUGAAAUCCGCAACUCUGACCUCAACCCUUUUACAAAAUGAUGAAUCCGCUCUUGUGGACUGAAACAAAGUUGAGUGGCAUAUCUGGAUAGUGCACGAAACUUAGCCUCAUAUGCAUUGACCUACAUCCUACCUUGCUCUAGGCUCAAGAACUCAUCCCUUUUCCUAUCCCUCAAAGUAUGGGGGAUAUACUUCUCCAUAAACAAGCUAGAGAAUGAGGCCCAAGUCAUAGGUGGCGCCUCCGUUGGUUGACACUCAACAUGUGACCGCCACCAUAUUUUGGCAUUCCCUUGAAACUGAUAACUCACGAACUCAACACCAAACCGUUCUACUAUACCCAUCUUGUGUAGUAGCUCAUGACAGUCAACCAGAAAAUCGUAAGCAUCCUCAGAUUCAGCACCCUUGAAGACUGGAGGUUUCAAUUUCAAGAACUUACUGAAAAGUUCAUGCUAAUCACUUGUCAUUAUGGGCCCAGUAGUCAGACGUGGAAACGUGCCUAUGUCCAAUGAGGCAUCCAUACGAGAAGCCAUAGUGGUUGCAUGUUGUACCACUGAAACCUGAGGUGUUGGUGUAGAAAACACUGGAGGGGCUUGACCCUGAUCAGACAACCCACUAAGAUAAGCGAGAACCUUAUUGAUCAUCUCUGGGGUAGGUUGGGGUGGAAAUUCCUCAUUUUGCACUUGUUCAUUCUCCCCUUCCUCACCCUCUCUUACCACUUCCUCAGUCGGUGGAGGAGUCACCGCCCUAGUAUCAGACGGGCUAGGUGCUCGUCCUCUUCCUCUAGAGGACGUCCUCCCACGACCUCUACCACGGCCUCUUGCCGCUACACUUCCUCGAGCUACAGCCCCAGUGGCUGGCUCAGACGCUUCUUGUCUUGCCGAUGUUGGUGUUGGCACAGUCGUUGCUCUAGUUCUAACCAUCCGCGAAAUAGAGUGAAGAUUGUCAGAUACCAAUUUGUAUCACCUAGAUACCAAUUGGAUCCAAGUAAUAGCACGAAAGAAAGAAAGAAUGGAAUUUUUCUAAAGUCUUGUAGCCUCUCAAAGAAAAGUAAAGGCGUCCCCCUACCGUUCCUUAAGACUCUACUAGACUCGUUCUUGUGUGAUGAGACCAACGAACCUAAUGCUCUGAUACCAAGUUUUGUCACGACCCAAAUUCGGGCCGCGACUGGCACCCACACUUACCCUCCUAUGUGAGCGAACCAACCCAUCUAAACCUUAACAUUUCAAUGUAAUAUCAACAUAAAGUAAUGCGGAAGACUUAAACUCAUUAAUAAAAUCAAUAACUAUUAUUAUCCCCAAAAUCUGGAAGUCAUCAUCACAAGAACAUCUACUUUUAACUACUAAUUCUAAGAGUUUCUAAGAAGCUAAAAAUACAUAAGAAGCUAAUCCAUGCCGGAAGUUCAAGGCAUCAAGACUUGGAGAAGAAGAUCCAGUCCAAGCUAGAAGCAUUAGCUCACCCUGAAUUUCUGAUGUAGUAAGACUGGCUUGAGUUACUGUUGAGUCGAAGAUGACGGCACGUUUGCUGCACUCCACAAAUAAACAACAAGAAAACAAUAAAAGUAGGGGUCAGUACAAAACACGGGUACUGAGUAGAUAUCAUCGGCCAACUCAAAAUAGAAAACAGUAUGUAUUAAGCAAUAUCAUAAAAUCAACUAAUAUCCUUAGCAUGCAGCAUUUACAGUUACCAUAACCCUUGGUUACAACACCAAGCACAUCAAUGAGGACUCACACCUCCUCAUCAUACUCAUUUGGGAAUUUAGUUUAUUAGAUUGGAUAUAUUAACAUAUUUCAAGAUUCAUUAUCUUUAUUCCCCUCGUGUCGGUACGUGACACUCCGCUCCUCAAUAUACUAUCCUGGUGUCGGAACGUGACACUCUGAUCCUCAUUCUAUCCUGGUACCGGAACGUGGCACCCGAUCCAUAUUCUAUCCUGGUGUCGGAACGUGACACUCCGAUCCUCAUAUACUAUCCUGGUACCGGAACAUGGCACCCGAUCCAUAUUCUAUCCUGGUGUCGGAACGUGACACCCGAUCCAUAUUCUAUCCUUGUACCGGAACGUGGCACCCGAUCAAUAUUCUAUCCUGGUGUCGGAACGUGACACCCGAUCCAUAUUCUAUCCUGGUACCGGAACGUGGCACCCGAUCCAUAUUCUAUCCUGGUGUCGGAACGUGACACCCGAUCCAUAUUCUAUCCUGGUACCGGAACGUGGCACCCGAUCCCCUAAUCUCACCAUUUUCGUUCAUCAAGCCUUCUUUUAUACCAAGGCAUCAUCAUUAACAAAGUAGAUUAGGGUUUCUUUUCAAGAUUUGGGAUUCAAUAGCUUCAUCAUGCUUAUUUAUUCACAAUUACAUAAUCACAUCAUUCAUACAAGAAUACAAUUAAGCAUAUAGAAGGUUUACAAUACUACUAACACAUAUCAUUCGCUAUUAAGAGUUUACUUAUGAAGCAUGAAAACCAUAACCUACCUCCACCGAAGAAUUUAAUCAAGCAAGAAUUUUCCCAAAGCUUUGUUUCUCCCUUCUCGUUCGAUUCCCUCUCUCUCUCUUGUUCUUUCUAUUUUCUUUAUUCAAACCCUCUUUCUUUUACCCUAAUUAGUAUAUAAUUAAGAAUAAAAGAUGGAAAUAAUACCCCACUAAUUAACUUAGGGUUACCUCUUUUAACCCCUCAAGAAUUUUAGUUAUUAAUAUAACCCCACGAAAUCUAUAAUUAAGGAAAGAAUAGUCCAAAAACGUCCCUUAAAACUUCACCAGAAAUCCGACUCUGCCUGGGAUUUGCGCCAACCUGUGACGGGCCGUCGUGCCUGCGACGGUCCGUCCUGCAGGUCGUCGCAAAGUUCAGAGAAUGAAUUUUCACUGAAGUCUCCGUGACGGUCUGUCAUGCCUGUUACGGUCCGUCCUGCCAUUCCGUCACGAAGUUCAGAGAGUCGAUUUUCAGUACCCAAUUUCAAAUUUUCUAAGUGUUCUGAAAUGAGACCCUGCGACGGUCCGUCGUGCCCUUGACGGUCCGUCGUGGGGUCCGUCGCUUCUGCCAGUUUUUCCAGAAUUGAAGUCUGUUGCUCAAAACGACUAAACAGGUCGUUACACUCAAGUUCAUAAGAUGAUGCACCCCUCUAAAUUCUUUUUUUAAUGAUUUACUGUCUUGUUUACAUCUGUUGUUAAAACUACCUUACAAAGAGUUUGUUAAAUCCUCGUUUGUCUGUUAAUCAAGUAAUAUCUUUAGUUCUAAAAUAAUCUCGUCCGCAGUUAGUCAAUUUCAUUAACUUACAAUGAUAGGUUUACUUGUUGGAAAUUUGUUUAAGUGGUUCUUUUUUUUGUUUUUUUUAUUAUUUAUGUGUAUUGGUGAAAUUCGCUAUCAUCUGAAGUCGCGGUUUAAGGUGAUAUCUAAGUACUAAUUCUUAUCUUUAUUUUAUUUUGUUCUCACAUGUGAAAUCCGUUCGAGUUCAUCAUAAACUCCCACCUCCUUUGCAUCUCGCGAGAGUCAUUAAGACUCAAUUCCUUUUAUUGGAGUCAAGCAGCCCAAAUCAAUGGAUAGGUCCCAAACUGAAAGAAAUUGAUGUGGCGGAAGUUGAAGAAUUUAGGCCACAAGAGCCUAAAAUUUAUUUUUGCCAAUUUUUUUAUUUUGUUGUUUUUGGAGCCUAAGCCCUUGUUGUAUUUCCUUUUGUAUUUGGUUUUUUUGUUUAGUUUAGGACAGGUGGAAAUGGGCCAAAAACCCAAAACAUGUGGGUCCAAAUUCCGGUCAAGGCGGAGAGAACCCGGGUUCGACCCAAUCUCUCUCUCUCCCUCUCUCUCUCUGUGUGUGUGUGUGUGUGUUUUGCCCUUUGUCUAUUUGUUUAUAUUUAUGUGUUUAUUAGGUUUAAAGUUAAAAGAAUUCAAUCCCCAUAUAACGCUGUAAUAUUUUAGCGACUUAAAAUUGAAUACAGUUUAAGAUAAUAAAUUUUUCAGUUAGGUGUUUCCCUUGGAUAAAGUGCUAACAAUCCAUUUCAAACAACUUCUAAUAUAUUUUCAAAUUCAAAAAGUUAUGUUAGAAAUAAAUUUUUAGACAAAUAUUUUAGUUGCCGAAAAUCGCAAGUAGGCGGAUAUUUUAGGUGCUUAACACCUUCAUAGAAUAUAAAUGUGAAUCCCCGAACCCUUUAAAUGUUUUACUAGAUUUUUUGUUAACUCUUUUGAAAACUAAACAAAGGUUUUCUUAAUUUCCACAAAAUUAAGUGGCGACUCUAAAAAGUCAGAAACUCUAUUAGAAAAAUAUUUUUUUUGAAAAAACACUAUGGUUUGUAGUCCUUGACUGUCGAUCGACACUCCAUUCACCCACUAUUCGGCAAGAGCCACGGAUGACCAGCACGGUCUUUAGGUGGACCCACGGUCCGUAGCUCUGACCAUAGGUGGGAACUAGCAUCCAGUUAGGGGGGAAAUGCAGUAGGGUUAAUUUCAAAUGAUCAUAACUCUUAGAACAAAAUUAAUUAGGUGUUCCAGGACAUAUCCACCGAGCUUGCUAAAAUCAGACCUCCAAUAAAAACGUUAUGCCCGGUUUAGUAAAUGUCUAUAAAACAGGUCUAACCUAUGGACCAAAUGACGGACCGUCGACGAAACAAUGGACCGUUAGUCUUGGUCGUCGUUUGGUCCGACAACAACUUACCCAAGGAUCUUUUGGUCUUUUCCUACUUCAUUUAAAAUUUAAGAUACGUCAUUUUUACCCUAAAUCAUCAUAUUUUAGUCAGUUUAAGCCUAGAAACAUAACUAAAACUUACCUAAGUCAAAAUCAUAACUCAAAAGUUAAAGAAUUAGAAGCAAGAAAGAGAACAAGCUUAAGAACUCUAGUUCAAGAAUGCAACAAGUUUCCAGUAGUCCAAGCCCGUAACCUAAGUAUUUUUCCGUGAAUUUCAUCACCAGGCAUGUGGAAUUUCACUAAUGGGUUCCUUUAACCUUUUGGGUCCCUUGUUUUCAGUCAUUUGUUGAUUCUAUUAUUAUGAUUAAUCCUAGGUCUUCUAGAACUUCAACAGAACUUCAUGAAUUUAUCAAUUGUAUCUUCCAAAUUAAAUUAUCAUGUUAUUAUUCAGUUUAUCGCAUGAAUUUCAAAACCCUAGCUAUGCAUUUAUUAAGUUAUUGAAUUACACAUACUAGGUCAGAUAUUUUAGUUACUCCAGAUAUACAUGCCUCAGUUACAAAAGCAUAAUUACCACAUUAACUGUUGCCUUCUCAGUUUGCAUGUUUAGUUUUGAGUAAUCCAGUAUUUACAAAAACUCAGUCAUAAUUAGUUAUUUACUUAAUUCAUUGGGAGUAGCAUAAUAUCGAGUUUGACUACGGUUCAGCGUACCUAAUUAGUCUUAGAACUACAAGCCAAAUAGGUUUUAAGUCCCCUCUCUGGGUAAUCAGUUUUAGUGAUUAUGCCAGCAUGUCUUUAUACCUCUGGCAGGGUAUAUUGUAUCCUCUCGAUGGGGCGUAUACGUCGGACUCCACAUUAAGCUCAUGUGGUUUUAUUGUCGAUUAUUAAUGGCUCCCAUAGUUCAGUCAUACUUUAUUGCAUUGACAAUUUAUCAGUAUAUUUAGUAUUCAAUUUCAACAUGUUAUAAAUUGGUCAUUGCAUCUGGUUAUCUCAGAAUUCCGUAUAUAAUGUACAGAUUAUUAUACUUGCUUUUGUGAUUAUUCAGUUAUGUUAUAUGUACAUUUUAUUCUAUCCUACAUGCUCAGUACCUUAAAGUACUGACUCAUACGUGCGCUACAUCUUCUCGUGAUGUAGGUUCAGGAUCUCAGCAUCCAGAUCACGCAUAGAUUUAUUUCUGAUCUCAACUUCAGUAGAUUAAGAUGUGAGUCCUCAUUCUUCGAGGACACUAAUCAUAAGUUUCAUUUCAGUCUUUUAGUAAUUUAGUUUUUGUUUUUCUAGAUUUAUAUAGGGCUUUUCCCAGUAUUUCGAGUCUAGUUUACAGGCUUAUUUCAGAAAUAGUUAGUUUUAGCUUAGCGUUGAGUUGAUAUUUUAUUUGUAUUAAACUCAUAAUUUUUCAUAUAUCUCAGAUUUAGCAUUUGGGUAUUCCCAAUCUUUCCAGUAUAAGUAUGAUUUAGCUUCCGCAACAAUUUAUUAUUCUUUAGUGUGCUCAUGAUCAUGGCAGCAGGGUUAUCUUGGGCUCACUUUUGUAUCCUAGGUUUCAUGUCCGCAUCUCGGGGGUAGCUCAGGGCGUGACGAGUAGGACAAAUAACGUUUGUGGUUUGGGUUCACUUAUAGAAGUGGAAAUCCGACCUAUAUUAAUUUCCAACUAAAGGUAAAUACACUUUUCAUUUCAUCGGAAUCCGAUGUCAAUUGGUUACCAGUUGGUAGUUCCUUAUCAUGCAUUAGGUGACUCCUCACGGGGGUUGAAAACAAAGCUCUUAAAUCGGUGGGAAAGAAAAGUGCAAUAUAUUCAUGUGGGUAACAAACCUUAAGUGGGAUUUAUUCGUCUCUAAUGAAAAGAAUCAUGGUAGGAAACAUACCCUACAUUUGGUAGAGUUUAAAUCUCCCUCAUAGAUUUGGAAGAGUUGAAUAUGAAUGUGUGAAUUACAUAAAAAAAAGUACCUCUAUGGGAUUUUGGUUUUUAGUGUCAAGGGAUAACCUCCUCUUCUGGGCUCUUUCAAUAAAGCAAUCGGGGCUGAAUUUGAAGAGGAUCAUUUUGGGAUUGAUGUCCUCUUGGAAUCAAGAGAAAAAUAAACGAAAACGGGUAAUGUUGGUGGAUCAGCCUGAACUAGAACCAGGACAUGUGCCGCCUUCUAUUCAAGUAGCUCCCCGGGGGAACGAAGUUGUUCCAUCGAAUCAACCCCCACGAGUGGUCCCGUAUUUGUAUCAACUGGAUGUACUAAUAACGAGAUUACGUUCAAUCAAUCUAGCAGAGUGUCCUAGACAAAUACUCCUAUAAUACUGCUAUCAGGAUCAUGUACCUAGACAAAAUAGAGGCAAAAGACCUAUUCGAGGUCAAGGUUGAGAUUCUAAGAAUCAUGGUGAUCCUUGAUACAAUGAGAGAUCGGUUGGGACGGGGAUGUCAGACCCUUGAUAAUCUACAUACCACCAUGGGAGAGAAUUCCUUGGAUUAACUCCAUACCCUUCUUUUAAAUCUCAAAUCUAGGGGAGUCAAUUUCGAGUCUUUCUCUCACUUAAAAGGGAAGGUAACUCUGCGAAGAGGUUGGGACAAAGACUCUACAACAUAGUGGAGUGGUUAGCUAGGACUUAUAAAAGAGAGAUCAUGUAUAACAACAAUUCUAUAAUUGAUGUCGAUUCAUCCAAACUUUUAUUCAUUAUAUAGGAAGGCUAACUGAUUGCUCGCUGGGAGUUGUAUGAUUGGUAGCGUCCAUGUACGACUCCAUAAGAAGGGCGGUGGAUAGAAAUGGCCUUGUUGUUACUCACUUUCACCUUCAAUGGAGUCUGCUCUUUCUUUUUUCGGAGAGUAUGACAAUGUGAUGUUAAUGAGGUGUAGAGAUUUGCAUAUGACAUUCAUUUGGCUUCUCUCUUUGGGAAACUGCACCCCGACCUUUUGGUAAAUAAACCCCUCCGGCCGUAGAGUAGUGGUAGGUGGUCCUGCCAUCUUUCUAGAAAAGGGUAGCCUUGUGUGUAUGUAAAACAAUGAAGCGAGGCGAACCCUCAAAUGAACUAUUUAAGAUUAGGGGGGAUCCUCAGUAGUUGUGACCCUUUCACUCUUCCAUGGACUAAUACAUGUUCCUAAUGCUCAUACAGGAAAGUUGACUCAUAAGUCUUGAAGCUGGGGGUUGCUUCGAGAAAUCCAUUCUUUCUAAUCCACUCAGGAGGUGCAAACACACCUACACAGAUUACAGGUCACCGUUACAAGAAUGGAAAGGAAGUUAACAGUACCUAAUAACAUUAAGGAAUGGAUUUAAACCCAUCGGGAGGCGAUAAUCAAUCUUGUCCUUGUAGAAGUGGCGACCAUUCUCAUGAACGAAAAGGAAUGUGCUGAGGGAAGCCCUAUGAUUCACUGAAACAACAGCAGGAGUGACUUUUUUCUAUCAUGUAAAAAAGAUCAUGAAAGAGGAGACAACCUAUUUAUGAUUACAGCCGAGAAGACUAGUAUAAGGAAGGAUCAAGAAUGUUAUAUAUUUCAGGAGCUAGAUUAGUUGGCGAUGAACAAGUAAAAAUUACCUCAACCAAAAUUGAUGGAAUUGUCCCUAAAGAGGACAUUCAAGCUCAUUAUCGAUUAGGUAUCAGUGGAAACAUAAAAAAACAGUUGAAUAAAAAAGAAAUAUGUUGAUGAAAAUGUAUUUUAUCCCAUAUCGCACGGAAAGGGAAAAUUAUAGUUUGUUUGAUGCCCGGAAAUGCUUCUUAUUUGUUACUUGACCCCUAUCGAUGUGAAUGAAAUUUUAGACUAUACCCUAGACCACUCACUUCCCUUUUGAGUCUGCUCUUAGGUGACCUAGCCCGAAUAAGGAAAGACGAGCAAUAGAAAAGGCUAAGGCAAUGAAAGCAAGACUGAGUCCCGAUAAGGAUGGAACCAAAGUCUUUUCGAGACAUUCGUAUAAUGAUUAUAACCUUAUUGAUUUUUCUGAAGAAAGGGCAUACUAUUUUCAAGAAUUUGGCCUCCCUCUACCUUAUUCUUUUGAAGGUAUGAGACCUUAUUGAGGAAAGAUCGAUACAAUAAAGAAAGUACCUACUCACGAGGCCAAUACUAUAGAAAAUCAGGCAAACUCAAGCUCACUUCAAGUUCAAAAUAGAAUUGUCGUACUUGAAAUGAAAUUGGAUCACCAGCUUGAUUUCCUCACUUUCUUUAUGUCGGUCACUAAUCGAUCGUAUGUUGUAAGUUAUGUCGCAAAGAAAUAGAUACACUUGUUGAUUGGUCUACGAUCCACCACACCUUGUAUUUCUUGUGUGGUAUCAUACCACAUUGAAUGAUUCUUCUCCCUUUUCUUUGCGAUAGAACUCCCUUGUUUCAGCGGUGCAACUGCUAUUUAAUGAAAAAACUUCUUGUUUGUCAAAACAGGAAAUAAGCAACUAUAGUAAUCAAGUAAGGAAGAAAAAAAAGUCUUAUUUGUGGCUAAUCCACUGCUUCUUCCUUCAUCUUAUCUUUUAUAAUAGCUUAUAAACGAGAUCGUGUAAGCCUAGCCCAGUGUUCAUCUGUACUAAUAGAAGUGGCUAUGGUGAAAGUUCUUUCUAAUCUACCACGUCAUCUCAUCCUUCUAACAAUAUAUUGCGAGGAUUCUUAAGAAGCCAUUCGUUGUAUAUUUAUAUAUAGCUUAUCCUCUGUUACUAUGACAUGGUAAUAAUAACCAUAUCCAAUAAAAGGAUUUAGAACAACCCAUACAGACCACGUUAUAGCCGAUAUAAUUAUAAAAGAAGCAACAAAUUGAUUAAGAGCGCUACCGCGAAAGCCGUUGCGCUUUAGCGCAUCCCCUUACUUGCUAGGGCAAGCACGAGGUCUUGUUCAAGGAAAGGUAUAAAUUAACAGAAUGAAAGAGAAUUAGUUUAUUAAGUUAGUGCGGAAAAAAGGAAAAAGGGAAUUCAGGCGCUGUUCUCAAGUCCAGUAAACGAAGCUGAGAAGGAAAGCUUACUUGAGAGGAUAUACCUAACUGAAAGAAUAUAUAUUCGAUGUCACAUAUCUGCUGUUGCAUAUUUAUAUUCCUAUAAUCGCUAAUUAUUACCUUCCUAGAUCUCAAAACUUGAUGCUAACCCUAUAUUUAUCUGAGUCUUAUACUAAAAGGACUUGCAUUUAGUCCAUCUUCUCCCAAGUGUGACUAAAGCUAUAAUAGAAGUGAAAAUCGUAUUUCUAACUUUCCCCCUCGAAAUGUAUUAUAUAAGAGCAUAUCCAACCCUUAUUAUUCCUUCUAAAACAGAUGUUGAACCUCAUUAUUUAGUGUCUCUAUAAAUAUCUAAAGGUGGAAGCGGUUUUGACAACGGGACAAAGCUCUUUCAAUGGUGAUGAAAGAGGGUGAAAUGCCUACACGUCAGCCACUCGCCCAAACUGGCGAUAGUACUGUAAGCCAUUGGCUCGCGAUUCAAGAAUGUAUAUUACACGGCUCUAUCCAAUAGCGAUCCAUACGUACUUGAUAUAUCGUUAGCAUUAUCUAAAUCAUGCAUGUUGGUUUGUUGUCACGGUAACCUCUUUCGGUUCUAUUCGCAGAUCAGGAACAUUUGUUGGUUGUGAGUUAAUUGAUCGAACAUCAACAAAGGCAGUCCCUUUAAUAAAAAUUAGAAUGAUAGCAUAAUGACUUCAGUAAAAUUCUAGUACUAGAAUAGAGGUAUUAGAAUGAUUGUAAGACCCUCACUUCUAAGACUAGACGGGUUACAUUCAACAAAAAGGAAGAGAGGGAAAGGCCCUACGUGGUUAAAAAGCUGAAAGAGAAGCUAUGGCAUCCUCACUAACGUUAUUUAGUUAUUCGGGAUCAAAAUUCCCACUAGACAAGAUGGGAAUUAAGUCAUAUCAGGGUUAUCCUUGUAUUGUAUUAGCGAGAGGUGGAACCCUUCUUUCUUAAGCAGAAGAUUUCGCUCCUAUCAUUUAUGAUUGAUCAAAGUAUGGUAUGUAGAAAUCAUAUUCUCAAUCGACUGGCAUUGCCCUUCACUUCAAAAUCCUCAAAGAAAGCAAUCAGAAUCUUAGUCUACAGAUAGCAUACUCUCUGAGUUCUUCUCCUUGUAUGACUGUUUGAUGGGGAAUGGGCCAACUCGAAAGGGACCGAUCAAUAUAUGGUGUUGCGGUAAGAAAAAGGAAUGUUUUUAGGAGGGUAAUGCAAAUUAUGAUAUAUAUAUAUCAAUAGUUAACGGAAAGGAAUAGGCGAGAGGAGAAGUGUUGUUUGCAAGCAAACCUAAUAAUGCCAUGAGGCGGAGAGUCGUUUGAUGAAGCCUGCACCCACUUGGAAAAAUGAACAAUAUACCUUGCCAGAGUUUCCAGAUAAGGGCUAUUAAAAAACAUAAUAAAAGGCUUCACCAACUACUUUAUCAAUAAGAAUGUGAUAAAAGUUCUCCCUGGUCUUCCUAAAAAAUCCAGCUUUAGAGCGCAAGUCGAACUCAUGAUAGGAGAGCAAAAUCACGCACACAUGGUUUAGUGGUUUGUUGUGCUCUGUGAUUUUUAUUCUUCUCCAAGAUCCGGUGCUUCAUCUUCUUCUUUUGCUUAUUCAAAAAUGUACUAUUGGAUGAAAGAUUUCCAAAUUUCGUUGCAAGGGAUGACCGGGCAACUCUCUAAAGGGAUUCGCUAAUGAUACAUGAGAGAAAUUGUCAAUUAAUGAUACUAAUUCCGGAUGCCCGACACCAGAAGACAAAAGACCCAUUACAGAUAAUACAUAGAUGACGACAUAGUCAAUGUCUCUAAUAUAAAUAGAAUGGUUUAAGUUACGUAUGUAAACAUCAACUAGACUUUAUGGUUAACAACCACUUACUUCUUUGAAACAUCAAAUCGGGAAUAGUAUGAGUUCUACAUCAGUAAAUAAUAAUUUGGGUGCUAUCAAAUCAUAUGUACAAAAGUAGAGCACCAUUAUCUGAUCAGGCUAAAGAAAGACUUUAGGAAAAAGUAGAUAUGAGAAAAGGUUUAUACAACAAGAAGAGUGCUUCAUUAGUAGACAACACCGGAGGAAGGAAAUGCUCGCGAAUAAGGAUGCACAUUGACUCUGAAUGGAAGCUCCCAAGAGGUAAAGUGAAGAAAAGAACAAAUGACAUCAUGCAAAGUUGAUUUCUUCUCUCGAUAUAGUAGUGAGAAAGUAAAAUUCUUUGUCAAUCGAUGUAGUUCCAAGUCUUCGAUGUCCCUCAGAGGCUAACAAGAAUUUGUAAUAAUAGAGUAGUAUAAUCCAAUUGGUGAUGAGUGGGAAAAAGUCCCCAGAUCUUCUGGUUUGUGAUUCGAGUUCAACAGUUAUUUUUUUUCAGCUGCUUUUGAUUCUAUUCUAGAUGCUACUUACUUAAAUAUUUCAUUUUAUUUCAAAAGGUAGCCUAUCUAUAUUUCCUAGAUGAAAGCGUACAAAAAGGGAUGUUCCCAUGAUUCAAUCUUCCGAUUUUUUAUAUCAGCGAGCUAGACCCCUAAAAUGCUUGGCACUUUAUGGUGGAAAAACCAAUGCUUCCUGCUCGUUCCUUUUUUUUCGCCUUAUUUCAUUCACUGAUUUCUGUAGUUUAUUUCUCUUUUAUGAAUAUUUGGUUAUGUUGGAUGAUUGGUGGGUAGUUUGAAGGAUUAAUGUCGGAGGACAGUUUUUUAAAGUGGGCACACUGUACAGUAUUUUUUUAUGUUUAUAUCUGUAUUUGUUCUGUAGUUGGAUCAGCCCUUUUGCUUAGUAUGUUGAGGGUGAAUUAAUGAAUGUUUGAUUUACCUCUAUCGACAGAGGCCCUACCUAAAUUUCUGACCCUUGAUUCAAGCUCUGCUCUUGGAGAAUGUCCCACCCGAUAUGAUCGACGUCACAUCUCGGCCUGUUCAUGCUGCGGAGCGAACACAUUCUUUGAUGAUAAAUAAAUCCUUUCCUAAAGUGAAAGCGAAUUCAACAUGGUACAUCAUAUAUAAAAAGAAAGGCUUUUGUUUCUUGCUUAUCUAUGGAAUAUCACAUUCUUACUCGCCCCUCCAGAAAAGAAUUUUACUCUUAGGAAAUAAGGGAGACUGUGAAUCUACCCCUUUAUGUGUUCUAUAUCAAAGUAAAAUAGGGUCUUGACAUCUCUCUUAUUGGUUUCUUUCAAUGCCUUACAAUUUGUUCACAUUAGGAACCUCUGGUGUUGGAUGUAGAUUUGAAACUUUAGGAUGGACUUCAUAACUUUUUUUUUAAAAGGAAAAAAGAAGCCGCAGACUUUAACUUAUUUGAUGAUGACCAAGAAGAUAUUUCCCAAUAGCGGUCCUUCUUUUGUCAAAAUUAUAAACUAGGUAUUUAUUCCUCUCCUUCAAGUUUAAGGAGGGAAGGGGCGCUACACCUAACAUAACAGCCAGCUGAAAAACGUUAGCUAGCUAGGCUAGCGCGUAAUGGCUUUCCCUUAUAGGGGCUGGCUUCUUUAAGCUUCGUGCAACCUAUACAAGGUGUUUGUUGCUUUCUCUCAGCCACUAGUGGUCGGCAUUAUUACGUGCUCCUCCUUGCCCCCCCUCCUUAAGAACCCAAAGGUCACCUUUGGAUGUUGUCGUGACGCUUUUGUUAUGAAGUUUACCGCAGUCUAGUUUUAUGUAUGGACUCAGUCAGCGAAAGUCCAGUCCCUCCAACUCAAUCAACAUAAACAACAUGUUGUGACCUCUUAGUCUUGGUUUAUUUUGUUAUAAAAGAAAGUUGGUUUCGUGGUUUCAUUGAUUAGUACACCUCCAUGCUGGUAAGGUCGGGACCGUGGUAAUUCGUCUCCAGUUUGCCGGCCGAUAAGAUCUCUAAGAUUGACCAGCCAAAUCGGUUAGUUUGGCAAUUAUUUUCUAUUGAAAAGUAGUCAGUUGCUUGAGCGAGACACCUUCUUCUAGGAUCCGCUAGACGACACGACAUUUCCGUUCAAACAUAUAUAGGUCGGCCGUAUCUGUGACUGUUCCAAAGGAUCUAAUAUGACCACUUAGGUAUACAUUGCCACGAUAUUAUUCUAUAGAAGUAGGAAAUUUAGAAGUUCGGCUAGGUUUUUCUGUUGUCGUAUAGGAGAGACUAAUGGUUAUAACGCAUAUUCAAUUAUACCGGUAUGGCCCCACUGAUUCUCUUUAUAUCGGAUCAUCAGAAAGUGCAACCCGGUUCUACUUGACUAAACAUGUGCUCCUUCAAGGAGAGAGUUUUCUUUACCCAACUCCCUUUUUAUAACAAUGCAGCAAUCCCCGACCCGAAUCGACACUUGUUAGUUUUGAAUGAAGAAUGAAAAGUGCUCUGCCCUCGCAAGCACCUAAUCCUAUCAAAAAGUGAGACUUUACAAAACAAGCAAGAAAGAAUCUUUCUAUCUUAUUAGUCAAGGGCUAACGAGCAAGAAAGUGGAUGCUCUAAGAAGCAAGGGCUUUCGUGCAGCUGUUGCGCUCUUGCUUCUUGCCUUAUUUUACUUAGUAUAACAACAUUUCGCGCUAGGCUCUCACCUUUUCCCUAUAAUAGAAUGUUUGGAAUUUGGUAAAGACCUUCUCCUUUUUUCAGUCAAAAUGAGUCCGCGAGACCCCGAGAUAUUGGCUUCCACUAAUAGUGGACUAUUAUAGAUCGCAUACCGCGCAUAUUCUACAUUAUAGCCUGUAACUUAUUCAGCUUCCGCUUCUGGGAGAUCAAACGGAGCUUGAUUAGUUUCUUCUAGACGAUAUAUAACGAACAUAACCAAUACAAGGAACAUGAGAAUACUGGACCAUAUCUGCUUAGGCACCAUGACAAUCUCACUCAAAUUACGGGAACCUACACAUAUUAGUACAAUAUACUGGGGUCCCCAUCCAAAACCACACGUGCAAGUUUCCCUGCAUGUGGUUCGCCCGUGCUUUUUGAGGCAUUUUAUGUGACUCAACAUAGGAUAAGAGGGACGAACUGCACACGUUCAUAUUCAGAUAAUUGUCCUAGUGAAUGGGAAGCGUCUACAAAGCAAAACAUUCUUCAGGAGGCAGGGUUUGUUCCUUUUCGGAGCCUACCUUUAUUUAUUUAGAUGUUGAGGUAAGGCAAGCCCCAGGAAAGUCUAGGUUUUUUCCCAGCUCCAUUUUGGUUGGCAUCUUGCUCUUUAAGGGGUGGGGUGCUGGUGCCAACUACUCAUUGAUGUGUUUCGCCAACCCAAGGAAGGUCAUUUGGUGAGGAGCAUUGUUUGAGGGGACAAAGUGUGAUCGACAAGAAAAUCAUCGAAGGCAACUUGUGUGCUUUUAUCGAAUUAUUCAUGUGGGAUGAUCCAUUCUCAACCCAAGUGGUGCCCCAAUUUUUCCUAGACGAUCGUGAAAAGAUUCACAUAGAGACUGCUGCUAUCCGGGAAUCUCUUUCAAUGUUAGCUAGCGGGGCGGCUUUCCUUUGGUAGUCCCAUUGGGGCUAUAAAUGGACGUCCCAUAUCAUCUUGAUUUGUCUAUACUUGUAUGUAUCCAGCCAUGUUAGCUCCACAUUGAGCUUUUUAAAUAAAGGCUAAUAGGGAACUCAUCAGUCAGCAUGACCCCUUUCCUAUUUCGCUUUGCCGCCUAUUAAGAGAAUAGGUCCAAAAAAAGCAGCCCGCCUUUCAUCGUCUAUACUAUCUACCAUGCAAGAACCAAUAGAAAGUAUUUUUAUGUCGCUCUUCUUACAAUCAAGUGGUUUAAAGCUCCUCUCUAGAUAAGAAGCAGAACGCGCCAUCACUUCCUCUGUCGGGGACUUCCACAAAAUGAAAAUUGGAGGCAUCAUCAUAUGAUCCAUUUUUGUUGCCCUGUUUUAUAUCCCGGAGUACCCCUACGGACGAUCUGUCACCUAACCUAUUUAAACAACCUAAAGGCUUAGCCCUGUCCCAUUUUGAAAAUGACCCUUUAUGGUACGAUUUAGUUAGUUAUUCUUGCAGUUUAGAUAAGAUUCAGAAUGGGUUGGAUUAGGUUUCUGAAAGCAUGGUUCUUUACUCCCUACCCCCUUCGAUCUCGUCCAUUCGUUGGGUGAUCCCUUGCUCUCAAAUUCGAGUUUUUGCUCAUUGUUUAAUCCUGUGGGUGAGAUUUAUGCUCAUUGCAGUCACCUCUGAGGUUCUUCCCUCGUGGAUAGCACUAGGACAUUUGUGCCCUGGCCCUUGAUCAUAUAAAGUUGCUCGCCUUAUGACCCAUAAUGAAAAAUGAGCCUUGCGAUGAGACCAAACAUUACCCAUUAUGUGGUUCCCUCUGAUUCGUUCCUGGGUCGGGUUAGAGGAACAUCCGAGCGAUUUCCUUCGUGGAUCCAAAUGCACUCAAAACACGUACAAUAAGAAUAUGACCAAUAGAGACUUUAUAGGAGGAAAUGUAUGAGCAUGUCCUGGGUCACCCCUAACCAUGCUUAGGGCUAUAUACCCCAACCCCAACUUGAUCUGGCCCUGGGUCCUAUAUCUACUUUUGACUAAUAAAAAUUAUCUUUUUUUUGUCCCUCCUGACCGAACUCUCCAAAAAAUCAUAAUAAAAAAAGUUAUACUUGUUGGGUGAGUAGCUUCGACUAAUUGAUCCUCGCCCAUCUUUGGCUGCCUGUUAGGAGGAUUAUGUUGGACCUAUGCGAUCUCGUUACAACGUUCUUUUUUUUACAGAGAUUUCUGGUGAAAACUUCAAUCUUGAAGCAUGGGAGCUUCUUAAGAUGUGCAUGAACAACUGCAGGCACGACUUGUCGUCGAGACUCCUGCCCCAAAUUAAGGGA